rnacentral:rRNA from 1 species
UACGUAGGUCCCGAGCGUUGUCCGGAUUUAUUGGGCGUAAAGCGAGCGCAGGUGGUUUAUUAAGUCUGGUGUAAAAGGCAGUGGCUCAACCAUUGUAUGCAUUGGAAACUGGUAGGCUUGAGUGCAGGAGAGGAGAGUGGAAUUCCAUGUGUAGUGGUGAAAUGCGUAGAUAUAUGGAGGAACACCGGUGGCGAAAGCGGCUCUCUGGCCUGUAACUGACACUGAGGCUCGAAAGCGUGGGGAGCAAACAGG